UACGAAGGGGGCUAGCGUUGUUCGGAAUCACUGGGCGUAAAGCGCACGCAGGCGGAUUGAUAAGUCGGGGGUGAAAUCCCGGGGCUCAACCUCGGAAUUGCCUUCGAUACUGUCUGUCUUGAGUCCGGGAGAGGUGAGUGGAAUUCCUAGUGUAGAGGUGAAAUUCGUAGAUAUUAGGAAGAACACCAGUGGCGAAGGCGGCUCACUGGCCCGGUACUGACGCUCAUGUGCGAAAGCGUGGGGAGCAAACAGGAUUGAGA
rnacentral:rRNA from 1 species